AGGCCUAACACAUGCAAGUCGAGCGGUAGAGAGAAGCUUGCUUCUCUUGAGAGCGGCAGACGGGUGAGUAAUGCCUAGGAAUCUGCCUGGUAGUGGGGGAUAACGUUCGGAAACGGACGCUAAUACCGCAUACGUCCUACGGGAGAAAGCAGGGGACCUUCGGGCCUUACGCUAUCAGAUGAGCCUAGGUCGGAUUAGCUAGUUGGUGAGGUAAUGGCUCACCAAGGCGACGAUCCGUAACUGGUCUGAGAGGAUGAUCAGUCACACUGGAACUGAGACACGGUCCAGACUCCUACGGGAGGCAGCAGUGGGGAAUAUUGGACAAUGGGCGAAAGCCUGAUCCAGCCAUGCCGCGUGUGUGAAGAAGGUCUUCGGAUUGUAAAGCACUUUAAGUUGGGAGGAAGGGUUGUAGAUUAAUACUCUGCAAUUUUGACGUUACCGACAGAAUAAGCACCGGCUAACUCUGUGCCAGCAGCCGCGGUAAUACAGAGGGUGCAAGCGUUAAUCGGAAUUACUGGGCGUAAAGCGCGCGUAGGUGGUUUGUUAAGUUGGAUGUGAAAUCCCCGGGCUCAACCUGGGAACUGCAUUCAAAACUGACUGACUAGAGUAUGGUAGAGGGUGGUGGAAUUUCCUGUGUAGCGGUGAAAUGCGUAGAUAUAGGAAGGAACACCAGUGGCGAAGGCGACCACCUGGACUAAUACUGACACUGAGGUGCGAAAGCG
rnacentral:rRNA from 1 species